rnacentral:rRNA from 1 species
UACGUAGGUGACAAGCGUUGUCCGGAUUUACUGGGCGUAAAGAGCGCGCAGGCGGUCGUUCAAGUCGAGUGUGAAAGCCCCCGGCUCAACUGGGGAGGGUCACUCGAUACUGAUCGACUUGAAGGCAGGAGAGGGAAGCGGAAUUCCCGGUGUAGUGGUGAAAUGCGUAGAGAUCCGGAGGAACACCGAAGGCGAAGGCAGUGUCCUGGGGAGUACCUGACGCUCAGGUGCGAAAGCUAGGGGAGCGAACGGGG